AAGCAGCCAAGUGCGUGGAAGAAGCUCAAGCUAAAGCUAGUGAUGGCUAAUGCUCUAGACUUGUAGACAAUCAGCAUUAGGGGCGACAAAGAACUGCAGUUUCCCUAUAAGAUCACUUGAUGGGCUGGCUUCGAAAGUCAGUACAUUCCCACACACUCCCCUGCUAAAAUGUCCAUUUCUAGACUUGUUCUAAACAUUUGAGCGCUGUAGCUAACUCUAGCCUUUUUAAUGAGUAUGCUAACUUUCUUGGGGAUGCUAUAAUUAGCAGCUUCGCCUCACACAGUUAGAAGGUUCCCGGUUCAUAUCCCAGUCGACGCCUUUCUGUGAGGAUUAGAGGUAGAUAAAGUGCUGUAUAAAUUAGCAGAUGGAUGAUUUAGCAACAGAACACUGCACAGGACUUCAUAUUAG